CCGUGAAUACGUUCCCGGGCCUUGUACACACCGCCCGUCAAGCGAUGGGAGCUAGGGGUACCCGAAGUGCCUGCAAAGGAGCGAAGGUAAACCUGGUGACUGGCGCU
rnacentral:rRNA from 1 species